rnacentral:misc_RNA from 1 species
GAUGAAGAACGUAGUAAAAUGCGAUAAGUAAUGUGAAUUGCAGAAUUCAGUGAAUCAUCGAAUCUUUGAACGCACUUUGCGCCCGCCAGUAUUCUGGCGGGCAUGCCUGUUCGAGCGUCAUUUCAACCCUCAAGCUCAGCUUGGUGUUGGGACUCGCGGUAACCCGCGUUCCCCAAAUCGAUUGGCGGUCACGUCGAGCUUCCAUAGCGUAGUAAUCAUACACCUCGUUACUGGUAAUCGUCGCGGCCACGCCGUAAAACCCCAACUUCUGAAUGUUGACCUCGGAUCAGGUAGGAAUACCCGCUGAACUUAAGCAUAUCAAUAAGCGGAGGA